ensembl:lncRNA
AUGGGGUGAAUAAUGUAGGGUAAGUAACAUUAUAUAAGGUAGCAUUGUUUAAAGUGGCUAGUGAUAUAGUGAUAUAUUUACAUCAUUUCCCAUCAAUUCCCAUUAUUAAAGUGGCUGGAGUUGAGUCAGUGUCAGUGUGUUGGCAGCAGCCACUCAAUGUUAGACCCCUGGUAAAUCUUCCAAUGAUAUGCCUACAAAUACGUCACAAUGCUGCAGACACCUUGGAGAAAUGAUAGAAAGGGCAGGCUCAUUCCCGGCGCAUUCACAGCCAUAUAAGGAGACAAUGGAAAACAGAGCUUCAAAAAUUCUGCCCAUUUCCUGGUUGAAGUUUCAUCUUGUUUUCGCCUGUAGCAUGAGUUCUGUGGCACUCACAGAUAAUAUCUUUGCCGUUUUGGAAACCUUAGAGUGAUUUCUUUCCAAAGCUGCCAAUUAUAUGCAUAGUCGAGCAUCUUUUCGUGACAAAAUAUUGCGCUUAAAACGGGCACGUUUUUUAAUCCAUAAAUUAAAAGAGCGCCCCCUAUAUCCAAGAAGUUAAUAAGAUCAUAUCGUUCUCAGAAGUCCCGUUAUAAUGCGCUGUUGUAUUCACAGCCUAUUGAUCUGUGGAGAUUCCCAAUAAAUGGGUUGCAUCUCAUUGUAGCCUGUCUUGAUAUCGUCUAUUUUAAUUACCACAUUUUCCAACUUAUUUACUCAUGUAAAUAACACCUUGAAUGAAGUGUUUGUGGUAUUGAAGUGGCAGACUGGGUUUGGGCCUUUCCAGAACCUAUUCAGAAAGAGGACACAGACUGAAUAUAGCGAUGAAUAAUGAUAAAGGGUUCCUCUAUAUCCAACCCUUAAUUAAUGGUGCCACUCUUAAUCUGGAUGAACAAAUUCAGCACAUCAAUCAGAUCAAUUCAUCAGUAAAUGAUUUUGAAUAUCAAUAUUAGGUCAUAACUCUGUGUGUGUGUGUGUGUGUGUGUGUGUGUGUGUGUGUGUGUGUGUGUGUGUGUGUGUGUGUGUGUGUGUGUGUUCCUGGCUCCUGUCAGCAGCAGACGGAAUCCUAGAGCUCCUUCAGACUCUCAGAGUCUUUCUGGGUGACCACUCAGGGCGAAAACACACACCCACAGCUGCUGCUAGGAAGGAGAGAGGAGAGGGAAGGAGAUGGGAUGAGAGUAGAGGAGAGAGAGUUGAGGAGAAGUAAGGAGAGGGGAGGGGAGAGAGCAGAGGAGAGGAGAGGGAAGGAAAUGGGAUGAGAGUAGAGGAGAAAGAGGUGAGGAGAAUUGAGCAGAGGGGAGAGAGCAGUGGAGAGAGCAGAGGAGAGGGGAGAGGGGAGAGGGGAGGGGAGAUAGCAGAGGAGAGGGGAGAGAGCAGAUGAGAGGGGAGAGAGCAGAGGAAAGAGCAGAGGAGAGGGGAGAGAGCAGAGGAGAGGGGAGAGAGCAGAGGAGAGGGGAGAGAGCAGAGGAGAGGGGAGAGAGCAGAGGAGAGGGGAGAGAGCAGAUGAGAGAGCAGAGCAGGAGAGGGGAGAGAGCAGAGGAGAGGGGAGAGAGCAGUGGAGAGAGAGCAGAUGAGAGGGGAGAGAGCAGAGGAGAGAGGAGAGGAGAGGAGAGAG